AGCCACGCGGUGAGCACAAAGCGAACUAUUCUUUCGCCUUUUACUAAAGAAUACCGUGUGCUCGCCGCAAAUAGUGGCAUACGCCAAUUUUUAGAGGGGUGUUCUUCAAUGAAAACC
rnacentral:snRNA from 1 species